AUGAUCUAUUUUAUUCUAUUUUUGAAGCAAGUUUAUUUAUAUAUUUUAAUUAGAAUGAGGCUACUCUACUAUCUAUAAUACCGGAGCUCCAGUACUAUAAUCUCUUUCUUAUCUUAAGUAUUCAAAUAAAUGAUCCAUACUGUUAAAUAUGAUCUAGGGUUAUAUGAAGUUUUUUAAAAAAAAAAUAAUUUUUUUCGACAUCGUUUACUUAGUAAGUAAAUGAUGUCAAAAUGAAUAGUAAAAAUUGAACAAUUCUUAAAAUUUAAAGAUAUAACAUUUGAAUCAAGAUUAAGGAUCCUUACCUUGAUCUAUAGAUAGUUUAAAGUAUUGUGUAUCAAAAUUUGAAUAAUUUUAGAUUAUUUUAUACCAUUAAAUUACAAACUCGUCGUAAUAGCCAUUAAAAAUUAAUAAUUUUGAAAUGAUUUACUCACGAAGUAAACUAUAUCGAAAAGAUAAAAAAUUUUAUCUCUAAAAACCUCAAAUAUCCUAGAUUAUAUAUAGUUUUAAUGGAUUUGAUUGUUGAUUUGAAUAUUUUAAUAUUGAAAAUAUAAGAUUAUAAUACUGGAGCCCCGCUACUACAGACAGUAU
rnacentral:lncRNA from 1 species